CUGUCUUCUGCUGUAACUAUG
rnacentral:misc_RNA from 1 species